rnacentral:rRNA from 1 species
GACGAACGCUGGCGGCGUGCUUAACACAUGCAAGUCGAACGAUGAAGCGGCCAGCUUGCUGGUGGUGGAUUAGUGGCGAACGGGUGAGUAACACGUAUCCAAUCUACCCUUAGGUUGGGGAUAACUGGUCGAAAGACUAGCUAAUACCGAAUAUCAAUACUCCUAUCGCAUGAGAAAGUAUUGAAAGAUCCUUUUGGAUCGCCUUUGGAUGAGGGUGCGGCAUAUCAGAUAGUUGGUGAGGUAACGGCUCACCAAGUCAAUGACGUGUAGCUGUACUGAGAGGUAAAACAGCCACAAUGGGACUGAGACACGGCCCAUACUCCUACGGGAGGCAGCAGUAGGGAAUUUUUCACAAUGGGCGAAAGCCUGAUGGAGCAAUGCCGCGUGAAUGAUGAAGGUCUUACAGAUUGUAAAAUUCUUUUAUUUGGGAAGAACGACCACGAUAGGAAAUGAUCGUGGAAUGACUGUACCAUUUGAAUAAGUAUCGGCUAACUAUGUGCCAGCCGCCGCCGUAACAC